GAUGAACGCUGGCGGCGUGCUUAACACAUGCAAGUCGAACGGUGAACGAGGGAGCUUGCUCCCUCCGGAUCAGUGGCGAACGGGUGAGUAACACGUGAGCAAUCUGCCCUGGACUCUGGGAUAAGCGUUGGAAACGACGUCUAAUACCGGAUACGAGGCGUGGGGGCAUCCCCAACGCCUGGAAAGAACUUCGGUCCAGGAUGAGCUCGCGGCCUAUCAGGUAGUUGGUGAGGUAAUGGCUCACCAAGCCUACGACGGUUAGCCGGCCUGAGAGGGUGGCCGGCCACACUGGGACUGAGACACGGACCAGACUCCUACGGGAGGCAGCAGUGGGGAAUAUUGCACAAUGGGCGAAAGCCUGAUGCAGCAACGCCGCGUGAGGGACGACGGCCUUCGGGUUGUAAACCUCUUUUAGCAGGGAAGAAGCGAAAGUGACGGUACCUGCAGAAAAAGCACCGGCUAACUACGUGCCAGCCGCCGCAGUAAAAC
rnacentral:rRNA from 1 species